GCAUCAUGAGAUAAAUAAGUUGCGAUCUGGAACAUAAUGAGGGAAUCUUUUAUUUGUAUAUAUGUCCUCUCUGUACUUCCUUAGUGUGGACCUUUUCCAUCCAGACAAACAUUUCAGUAUUGUUCUACUGUCUUUGGUUUCAUUUAAAAGAACGGAAAUAGUAUCGUACAUCUAAGGAAGGGAAUUCAACCAAUAGGAUUUUGCAAAAUCCUAAACUGACGUAAACCCGGUAACGAUGAAUAACCGGUAGUAGAAGAGACAUCUGUGUUGCGCUAUCCCGUUAAAUAAAUAGUUUUAAAAUACUCAUCUAAAACGUGCAAACAUCAUGGUUUUCCAUGUAAGGAGAAUAAUACGAAAUGCUCUGAGACCAGGCUGGGUAUACUGUUCCAAAGCACACAGCCAUUGUUUGCACACAGCUGGUCAUCAUGGCUGGGAUGUGCCUGGCUGCCUGAGCUGUAGGAACGGCUUCAAGUUGCUUCAUCAAGGUUGGAUGUCUACAGGAAAGUCCCCAAAGACCUGACCCAGCCCACGUACACAGGAGCUGUGG